rnacentral:rRNA from 1 species
UACGUAGGGUGCGAGCGUUAAUCGGAAUUACUGGGCGUAAAGCGCGCGCAGGCGGCUAUCCAAGUCAGUGGUGAAAGCCCGGAGCUCAACUCCGGAACUGCCAUUGAAACUGUUUAGCUUGAGGACGAGAGAGGUGAGUGGAAUUCCCAGUGUAGAGGUGAAAUUCGUAGAUAUUGGGAAGAACACCGGUGGCGAAGGCGGCUCACUGGCUCGUAACUGACGCUCAGGCGCGACAGCGUGGGGAUCAAACAGG